rnacentral:rRNA from 1 species
UACGUAUGGGGCGAGCGUUGUCCGGAAUUAUUGGGCGUAAAGGGUACGUAGGCGGUCUAUUAAGUCAGGUGUGAAAGCGUGAGGCUUAACCUCAUUAAGCACUUGAAACUGGUAGACUUGAGUGAAGGAGAGGAAAGUGGAAUUCCUAGUGUAGCGGUGAAAUGCGUAGAUAUUAGGAGGAAUACCGGUGGCGAAGGCGACUUUCUGGACUUUUACUGACGCUCAGGUACGAAAGCGUGGGGAGCAUACA